rnacentral:rRNA from 1 species
AUACGUAGGGUGCAAGCGUUGUCCGGAAUUAUUGGGCGUAAAGCGCGCGCAGGCGGUCCUUUAAGUCUGAUGUGAAAGCCCACGGCUCAACCGUGGAGGGUCAUUGGAAACUGGAGGACUUGAGUGCAGAAGAGGAAAGUGGAAUUCCAAGUGUAGCGGUGAAAUGCGUAGAGAUUUGGAGGAACACCAGUGGCGAAGGCGACUUUCUGGUGUGUAACUGACGCUGAGGCGCGAAAGCGUGGGGAGCAAACAGGAUAAGAUGCCCUGGUAGUCCACGCCGUAAACGAUGAGUGCUAAGUGUUAGGGGGUUUCCGCCCCUUAGUGCUGCAGCUAACGCAUUAAGCACUCCGCCUGGGGAGUACGGUCGCAAGACUGAAACUCAAAUGAAUUGACGGGG